AUCGCAAUGUGUAUUUGAAAAGUUUAUCAGAUCUACUGAUGCACCCGCCCUAAGAGAAAAUAAAGCCUCAGGCGCGAAGAGGCCGGAGUGGGGGUCGCUGUGACCGAGAAAAAUCGGUUCACCCUCCCAUGAAAAGUUAUCACUUCAAAAAGCAUCAACUCUGAUUUUGCAUCUAAUCUAAUGCUCUGAUUUUGCAUCUAAUUUGCAUAGGAAGCAGUAUUUGAAACAAAUGUGUCAGUUAUUUGACUUAGGUAUCUUUAAUUAACAUUCUGCAAAUAGUCAGCAGUUAAAAUGUCUAUAUUUCACAAUGCUGAAUGAAAGUGUGGCCCUAAAUAUUUGAAGAAAACCGAAUCAUGCAGAAUGCAAAAGUAUGCAUUUUUGGAAAUUUUUGUACGUACCUACCGAUCCAAAUUUGUCUGAUUUCGAUGUGUGGUUUUCCAAGCAAUUUUGAAAUUUUACUUGACACACUAGAGAAACAAAGAAAUCUUUUACCGACAAUUUCUUCGCUACAUUUACAUGUCAUAUUGCAUUAACAAAUUUGUCUCAUACACGUUUUGAUUGGACAACUUUCGAGGGAACGGCAUAACACUCGUCCAAAUUAGUCCUACACAAAUAACUGUUGAAACACGACACACGCUGUACAUUUUUCCCAUUAGAAAAAAAUUACAUUAAUUUCUCGGUUCACAUCGCGAUAUGAGAAUUUUCCAAUCAAGCUACCAUUGGAGGUUGCUCAAGUUUGCACGUUUCACCUUCUCGAGCACGCUUUUCGGCGUCGAUCGCUGAUGCUCGGCGGGGACGCCGCUCAAACAGCCUGGCUGUCGUGUACAUAAACAACAUAUACUAAAAUAUGUUGUUUAUGUAUUGUACAUUAUAUGUAUAUGUCUCAUUCUUAACGUUAUUAAAGUUAAAACUUUUCCAUGCGCGCCCGGGACUGUUGCUCAUAUUUGCAUUUGAAAAGCAAUUCAAAAUUACGUCGAUUAUUAGAACACAAUUGAAAAUAUGCUUCGAUUUCUAUGCCGUUUUCGUUAAAUACAUAGGUAUAAACUGUUCCAAGCAUAAAUUUUCUUUUUUUUUACAGAUGCAGCUAUCCGUUCCGUAUGUUCUGUAAUAACACAUAAAUACCUGAAGUGAGUCAUUUAUCGGAUAUUUUAUUCCUGAUGCAUUCACUAAAUUUUAUCAGGCCGAAAGCUUACUUAGAGUUAUCAACCUAUGUUACCCUUCACUCGGACAGCUACAACAGAUGGCCCCAUCUAGCGGCGCCACGCGUCCAGGAAGCAUAUCAACUUUGCCCUAUUUAGUUACCAUUCUAAAGGGGGAUAUGUUCCUGAAAUAUCAUGGGGGAUGUUCUGUGGAUAAGUUGUGGUUAUCUUUACACUCAGGCAGAAGAGUGACACUUAUUCUUGACAAUUUCCUCCACACAAAUUGCAGGCAACUACCCGUUCCUUUCUGCAGACUGAAGUACGAUCAAUAAUUGAAUCGCCAUUCUGUCAGUGAAAUCCCCUAAUCUUAAACAUGAUAAAUAUGUAUGCAUACUUGUUUCAGCUGAUUAUGGUCUUUACUGAUUAGGUAAAAGUGUUUUGUGUAAAAAAAUGUGCUUAUCUGUACAUGCAAAUGUAUGUAUGCAUCAUUGUACCAGAUUUUUCUGAGUGUUAAUUGCAUUUCAUUAGAUCAUUAGAUGGUAACUGUAAUAUA
rnacentral:lncRNA from 1 species